rnacentral:rRNA from 1 species
UACGUAGGUGGCAAGCGUUAUCCGGAUUUAUUGGGUGUAAAGGGCGUGUAGGCGGGAGCGCAAGUCAGAUGUGAAAACUCAGGGCUCAACCCUGAGCCUGCAUUUGAAACUGUUUUUCUUGAGUACUGGAGAGGCAGACGGAAUUCCUAGUGUAGCGGUGAAAUGCGUAGAUAUUAGGAGGGACACCAGUGGCGAAGGCGGUCUGCUGGACAGCAACUGACGCUGAGGCGCGAAAGCGUGGGGAGCAAACAGG